UACGGAGGAUGCGAGCGUUAUCCGGAUUUAUUGGGUUUAAAGGGUGCGCAGGCGGCGUGUCAAGUCAGCGGUAAAAUGUCGGGGCUCAACCCCGGCCGGCCGUUGAAACUGGCGUGCUCGAGUUGGAGAGAAGUAUGCGGAAUUCGUGGUGUAGCGGUGAAAUGCAUAGAUAUCACGAAGAACCCCGAUUGCGAAGGCAGCAUACCGGCCCCACACUGACGCUGAGGCACGAAAGCGUGGGUAUCGAACAGG
rnacentral:rRNA from 1 species